rnacentral:rRNA from 1 species
GACGAACGCUGGCGGCGGGCUUAACACAUGCAAGUCGAACGAAAAGGCCCUGGUUAUGGGGGGUGCUCGAGUGGCGAACGGGUGAGUAACACGUGAGUAACCUGCCCUUGACUUUGGGAUAACUUCAUGAAACUGGGGCUAAUACCGGAUAGGAGCUCCUGCUGCAUGGUGGGGGUUGGAAAGUUUCGGCGGUUGGGGAUGGACUCGCGGCUUAUCAGCUUGUUGGUGGGGUAGUGGCUUACCAAGGCUUUGACGGGUAGCCGGCCUGAGAGGGUGACCGGCCACAUUGGGACUGAGAUACGGCCCAGACUCCUACGGGAGGCAGCAGUGGGGAAUAUUGCACAAUGGGCGGAAGCCUGAUGCAGCAACGCCGCGUGCGGGAUGACGGCCUUCGGGUUGUAAACCGCUUUCGCCUGUGACGAAGCGUGAGUGACGGUAAUGGGUAAAGAAGCACCGGCUAACUACGUG